rnacentral:rRNA from 1 species
AGUGAACGCUGGCGGUAGGCCUAACACAUGCAAGUCGAACGGCAGCACAGUAAGAGCUCGCUCUUACGGGUGGUGAGUGGCGGACGGGUGAGGAAUACAUCGGAAUCUACUUUUUCGUGGGGGAUAACGUAGGGAAACUUACGCUAAUACCGCAUACGACCUACGGGUGAAAGCAGGGGAUCUUCGGACCUUGCGCGAUUGAAUGAGCCGAUGUCGGAUUAGCUAGUUGGCGGGGUAAAGGCCCACCAAGGCGACGAUCCGUAGCUGGUCUGAGAGGAUGAUCAGCCACACUGGAACUGAGACACGGUCCAGACUCCUACGGGAGGCAGCAGUGGGGAAUAUCGGACAAUGGGCGCAAGCCUGAUCCAGCCAUACCGCGUGGGUGAAGAAGGCCUUCGGGUUGUAAAGCCCUUUUGUUGGGAAAGAAAAGCAGCAGGUUAAUACCCCGCUGUUCUGACGGUACCCAAAGAAUAAGCACCGGCUAACUUCGUG